UCCCCUUCCCUCCCCCAGCCCUAAGCCACCCCCACCUGUGUCCUGGCCACCUCAGGGCGCCCUGAGAAGACCAGGACAUGCGGCUGCAGUGGCUGCUCUUUUGGCUCCUCGUGCUGGGGUUUUGCAGCCAUUAGUCCAGCCACAUGAGUAGACAGUGGACCUGCGGGGUUCCUUCCUUUUCACUGGGCUGUCACGGGGCGUGAAAUGACACAGCUCACACCUGUAAUCCCAGCAUUUUGGGGCCUAACGUGGGCAGAUCGCUUGAGUCCAGGAAUUCGAGACCAGCCUGGGCAUCAUAGCAAAACCUCAUCUCUACAAAAAAAUCAAACAAUUAGACCUGGCAGCAAGCGCCUGUAGUCCUAGCUACUGGAGAGGCUGAGGUGGGACAAUCGCUUGGCCCCAGGAGGUGAGGGUUGCAGUGAGCCAGGAUCGCCCCCACUGCACUCCAGCCUUGUCGACAGAGUAAGACCUUGUCUCAUACAAAACAAAGUGAAAUGUCAUUUGAGUUCUGUGUCAUCUGGUUUGAUGACUUUCUAGGAACUUCUGAGUCAUCCGUGUCUUCUGCUCUUAGGAGCUGCCUCCAGGGAGUCCCUUUCCAAUCAGAGUGAUGGGAGCCCCAGAAGCCCAUCAGAUGGGAGAGAAAAGGGCUGCACCCUGCUGGGAUGUUUGCAAUGCGGAGUCACCAGGAGUGACAUGAUCAGGAUGUGAAUGAGGACUCUAUUGUCCUUUGUUCUGUAAAAUGUGUCCUGUGCAGAUCGUUGAUUUACCCAAAGCAGAAAGGGUCUUAUAGUCCUUUUGUUUGUCCAAAUAGAAAGAAAUCACAGAUUUCUCCUUUGAAAGGUUUCAGCCUCACAUUAUAAAACCUCUCCACUACGCACAGGAGAGGGCACCUUAUAGAGAUGAGGGUAUUUGUUCUGAGUGGCAUGCACCAGAUUCUCAGAGAGGGAGCUGGAAAAGUCCAGUGAUGGGAGCAACCGCUGCAUCGAGGCAGAAUCGCCCCCAUGAGCGCCUCCAAUUCCAAUCAAAGAAGAGUCUCUUGAUUCUUUUGAGUCUAUGAAGGAGGAAAUGUCUUGAUAAUCUUGGUUGGAAUGUUCUUCCCUUUAUCUGGCUGCAUUUUCAUAGAUCAGUUACACUCUCUUUCCCUACCUCACCUUUGAAGACUUGGAUACAUUUUCCUCUUUGCAUUUUCCACAUCCACCCUUGCUCAUGGCCGUCGACUAUCAGAACCUAAGCUUUUCCUGGCCCCAUUGGACCUAAUCUGGGUAGGAGCCCACUACUGAUAACCUGCAUCCAGAUAAUUGUCAGAUGUGACAAGAGUGCCCAAGAUGGGGGGAUAUUUUCCUGGUCAGUGACAAGAUGACCUUUGUCCUUCUUGUGCAUUUGAUCCACAUCUUUAAUUAACCAUUGUGCCCAGAGCUCCUGCUUCCUUUCAGAUGGAGGCUGCUCAGCGACAGUGCAUCUCUCCCAGGAGCCCAGGCUGCACUCACCUCCACUGUGAGGCUGAAGACAAAAGUGCCACGGAGCUCAGAGGCUGCUUUCUAGCGAGGUUUGAUUUGCACAAAACUGAGUCUUGGUAUGUGGAUUGGUCUUAGUUGCAUUUUGAAUUUAUUUUCUCCCCCAAUACUUGUAAAUCCAGUGUUCGUAAAAUAAUAUGUGUGCCUUGUGUGGUGGUGGCCAUACAUUGCAGGAAGUUUGUAUUGCCUUCCAUGUGGAUUUCCAAGGGUGCUCCUGAGUGCUUCAGGUGCAAUGCUCUAAAAUAUGAAGGUGAACUCUUGUUAGUGGUUACUUGGUAUCGUGUUUUUAACUGACCUCAAUUCUCACAGUUUCAAUCAUAAUUCCAAGGAGACUAUGUUAUGCAAAUCUGUAUGGACUUUGAAAAUCUGACAUGAAGUGCCCCGUUUCAGCAGAGUGUGGACAUGUUUUUGGAUAUAUUUCAAAGAAUAUAAUAAAAAUUUUUAAACAUAUAAAAGAAGACCUUGGCUUCCUGACCAUUGUCAUCGAUGUUGUGCCUGACCAUUUUCAUCCUGGGCCUGACUUUCCUGGAAUUCCCCGGAUGCUUGUUAUUAUUGUUGUUUCCCUGGGAAUUUGUUCACUUGCCAUUUUCUUCUGGAAAACUAGCCUUGGUG